AGUGGAGGCAGAUGGACAGAGCAGUGGCCAAGAGCUCAGAGGCAGUGAUGCCUUUGCUGCAGGGUGGGGAUCAGUGAUCUUCUCUGGAAGAAAAGUGUGUACAGCAAUGGAUACUGUGGUGCUCAAAGUGGAUGACUCUUGCCAUUAGAAUCACCAGUAUGUUCACCCAACACACUUCUCUACAAGACCGCAUUUUAAUCAGGGUCAGAAGAAUGGUCACCCUGCACAAAGAACAGGUGCUUUUAGCACUUACAGGCAUGCUGCAUAAUGGAUGGGAGCAAUACCUCUUCAGCCAAAGCAGGCAAUCUUGUUUUCCUACUCAGAAGGUGGACCAGAAAUGUAUCCCAUAAGACUGACUCUUCCUCAGGCUAUUGAAUCAUAGUGUCUGCAUACUAUAGUGAAUGGUGGAUUAACAAGCUAUAAGAUCAAUAAACAGAGCAAUUUCAACUGUCAUGAAGAACUGGAUAGUACUGAAAGGAUUUCUGAAGGACGAACAUCUACAUACCUCCCAGUUUUGGCUGAGAUAGAGUUUAUUUUCUUCACAGUGGCUGGUAUGUAGCCAUGUUUGGAUUUAGGAGAAAAAUGAUGUUGAUAAUGCACCAAUAUUUUAGUUGUUGCUCUGCAGUGCUUAUGCUUUUCAGCUUCUCAUGCUGUCUUGCUAGUGAAGAGGGAGCUGGGAGGGGACAAAGCGAGGGCAGCUGACCAAACUGGCCAAAGGGAUGAAUGAAACCAUGUUGUGCAUUCAGAACAAUAAAACUGGAAUGUGGCCACUGCCACUGCUCAGGGACUGUCUGGGCAUCUGUUGGUGUGUGAUGAGUAGUUGCAUUAUGCAUCAUUUGACUUCAGUAUAUAUUUAUUAUUGUUGUUGUUGUUGUCACUGUUGUUAUUAUUUUCCCUUCCUUUUCUGUCCUGACAAACUGUCUUUAUCUCAGCCCACAAGUUCAAUUUUUUUUCCAAUUCUCUACCCCAUCCCACUGGGAAGCAGUGAGCUGUGUGGUGCUGAGCUGCCUCCCAGGUUAAACCACAACAAUUCUGAAAAAAGUAUCGGAUAAGAAAAAUAAGGUUUUUAGUGUUGCUGACUGGACCCUAACUGUUGCUGCUGUCUUUGCAGCACAUGAUGGUAACCGUGAAAUUAAUUUAAAAUACAGUAUUUUCUUGGUCUGGAUUAAAGCUACAGUAUCUCUGUCAACUGUCCUCAUCAGCUAUUUGAGAAGCAAGAAGUUUCUUGUUAAUCAGACCCUUGAGGAGUGAGUUUCCAAGAACCACAUAUGCAAUUAUCUUAAGCAUGCUACGCUGCAGAUCCUAGCCCCCAGCCAACUCAUCUGUGUAUCAAAACACCAUUUUUUGUCCCUUCCCCUAAGACCAAGCCUAGCCAGGCAGAAGCAGGAGAGGAGGGGUGCUUAAAGCCAUCUUCUGCAGCCCAACCAUAUGUCAUGGGCAUUACUGGGGGCGGGGAAGAACAUGCAUUAAUGGGGAUGGCCUGCAAGCUGCAGUGAAUUUUCUUCUGCAGAUGGUGGGCUGUGGCUUAGCACUGGCAAUAGUUAGCAGCACUCUAGGGAGCAGCAAACUGACUGGUGGAAGUCCCUGGGGGUGCGGUGUCUUUGUGGGGUUUGAUGCUCCUCCAGGACAACAGUGCUCCUGUAAGCCAUGGGGUAUGUGGAUCCCCCUGACAGGGCAAUGGCCAGCCAUGCACUGGAGACAGUAGCUGUGAACUUUACACAGGAACACCUGUGUCUGCUUAACCCUCAGCAGUUCUUGCUGUUGGCUCCCCCAUCACCAGCCCUACUUUCAUGUCCUUAAAUCUUUUCUCUGUCUUUUGUCACUGCCAGCUGCAAGAGCAAUUCACUGGAGCCAAGCUCCGCUUCUUUGGAAAGUCCUGGUGUCUUAUGAUGACUAUGGGAGCAGCAGGUCCUCCAGUGUACCUCAUGCCCCAUAAAUACUGUCCUUUUCCUCUUCAAAAAUAGAUAUUUUCCCACAGAGCUUGUCAUAACUCUCCUUAUUCAUUUAUAUCCAUUUGUUAUUUAUGGAGGAGGAAACAAAAGAGGAAUACAAGUAUACCUGAUAGUCUAUGGAGUAUAAUGGACUAGACCUUAAGCAGACAAGAAAUGCCCUCUUUGCCGUAUAUCAUUUCAAGAAACCACCACUAAAAUUAUUAAGGAAGCACUUAGGUCUUCUCUUUUUAGUAUUUUAACCUGGCAUGAAGACCUUUACUACAACCUUAUUAGAAAAAAAGUGGAUUAAUCUCAGCGAUAACCAUCUUUCUCUGCCUCAUUCCUCCCAUCUCUUUGAAUUUCUACACCAUGAAAGUCUCCCUUGCUAUGCUUCACAUUCCACACACCAGUUCCCCUCCGCCUUUCAGGCAUCAGGUAGGACUCUGAAUGAUGAGUUUUAAACUUAAAAUACUCUCUUGAGCACAAAGUUGUCAUUCUGGUUUUUCUAUGUGAAAUUGUAAUUAAAUGUGAUUGUGCAUAAAUAGUUCCUGUGUUGCUCUUAGGAGAAUAUUCAGCAGUAAAGUUUUACUUUACUUUUUCUCAAGUUUCGUGUCUACACUAGCACCUCAAUUGGUAAAAAGCUUUAUUUGAUUUAAACAAGAUAGACUUCAGUUUGGAUCAGUAUUAUUAACACUAUAGACUGCUUUAUCUCCACAGGAAUUAAAGGUUUCAUUUACCUUAACAUCAGUCCAGCCUACUGAAGAAUAUUCUAUCUAUUUAUAUUUAAAUCUUCUUCUCUGUUCUGGGUCUUGUUAUAACUCUUGUGAUCUAGGCUAGAGAAAAGCAUAAAAUCCUGUGACCUUUUGCAUUACUGUUAUUCAUCUUUAGUACUUCUCUAUGCAGACUCCCACAGAUUCUGGUCUUUACUAUAACAGUGCCUUAUUAGAUGUUGUGCACACAAGACACUGUACACAUUGGCGGGGAUAUAUCUGACCAUUAACUUAAUUAGAUUUUUAAAAAAGAGAGAAAACAGUGCAUAAUGUUUAAGUAAAACUGUGCUGCAGUGGAACAGUUCCAGCAAGACAUGGCUGUCUCCUGGCUUUGUAUCAGUAUGCAGAAUGUGCUUGUAUACAUCACCAGUUCCAGCUGCUGAAGUGCGUAGUGAUAAAAGAUUUAUUUUGAGAGAGUACAUUACCUUGAAUAGCAUCACAAUCCUGGGUACCAGUGACAAAUGAAUAAUGGAAGUACUUCUUCUGCCAAUAGCUUGUAUACUUGUCUAUUGCAGCUCCUGCCAACAAGUUUCUGAACUAGAGUUUGCAUAUCUAGGGCAUGAAUUUACAUAGAAUGUGAAUAGAUAUUAUUUACUCUGGGUUGUUUUGCAGACACAAUGCAUUUUUAUACUUUUGUAUCUUAAACUGUGUUUCACAGAAACAGACAAGUAAGCAAGUAGUCUUUCCUUUGAUUUUUAAACUGAUGAAUGCAAAGUGACAAAGCCUGUCAGUCCUGUAGCUCUACGGUAAGGCUUCUUUUCAGUUUAGAACUUAAAAUCCUUACACAAGUAAGUGGUCUGCCCCUUUUGUAUGCAAACUGGCUACAGAAGAAAGUAAUUGCUGUUUUUUGGGGGGGAGCUACAUUUACAUUUUUGUGCAGGUAAACCUUAAUAUUGAACUUUUAUCACCCAGACUAUGCACCGAAUGAAGAUUAAAACAUAAACGACUGUUCAGUUAAAGACCAGACACAGACAUUCUGAGGUGCUGGAGGAGUCCAACCCCCUGCCACUGCUGCCCAGUGUGUGUGCUGUAUCUGUGCCCUCUGCUGCUAAGCCUGGCUGUGGCUGGUUGAUGGGGGAUGAGACCACAUGCCUCCCCCAGACCGGGAUUAUAAUGCAGGGGCAGAAGGGAAAAGACUAAGACUGACAGGACCCUGGCCUCCUUCCCAUCCCUUUAUGAAGAGAUUUCUGCCUUGGAGGAGAGAGAGGACAAGUUGUUCUUACUUACUUGCAGGGAUGGACCUUGGCCAGGCCAAAGAACAGAUUUGGGAUGCUACUGUGUGCUCAUGCCCCAUCCUGUGCUGCCUGCACUCCAGUCCUUGAUAAUUGAGACAGACAGAGAUGGGAUUUUUAGAAAUGAGUCUGACAUAUCUCACUCCCUUGGCGAUGGCCACUGCCAAGUCACAUUGACUUCUGCUGUUUCCUUCCCAGUCUGGACCUUACCCCAAGGUUAUCUGAAGGUUGGAAGGACCACACUACUCACUUCUCCUAGCCUGAAAAUUUGAUCUCUGGUUAUUUUGUUUGUGAGAUGAUUUUCUCGCUGGUUAUAGCUGUCACUUUGGCAGGAUGCUACAUUUAUUUUCACUGAAAGUUACUUGAAAAAAUAACAUAAUGGAGUUUGGGCUUAUGCAUUUAUUGCUGGCUGUCUGUUUGUGUUGUACAUUCCUUGAUGACUUCACCCCUGACUUCCAGACCUGCAAUAUUGCCUUUCUACCUCCUUCCCCUGGGCUUCUAGUCCUGGGGGGAGCCUCUGGAGCUUCUAGUUUUUGGUCUGUUUCAACUACCCUCUGGCCCUUCACCAGGCAUCUGCCCUCAGUCCCCAUCAUUUUCACUCCAACAAAAUCUCUGAACCAGAAGCAGCUCCAGAGGAGGCUGUGGGUCACCCCUCAGGAGUGGAGCAAGCUGGUGGCUGUCAGUGAGCAGAAAUCUUACCCCUCAUCAUCAGGAAGUGAGGAGAAGCUAAAUGGAAAUUCAUGUUAAACUCAAAUCCUCACUAAGGCUGUCUGUAGCACAAAAGUUUUCCCCUCUUUCAAAAGCUUUUAUUACAUAUCUUCAUUAUUGGAGAUGUUGCUAGGUCAGGGAAUCAUGAGAAUUCUUCUCUACUUGCUCAGCUCUGCAGAGCUUUCUGGGAUGCUGUGCAGCAAUAUUGUCUCACUUGCCGCCCUGGGAUUUUUUACACACAAAACAGCACACUAUUUAAAAUAAAAACAUUUAAGAAAAAAGAAAUCAAAGCAUCAGUGGAAGUGACUGUAUUGCAUAUUGAUAGGACCGAAUAUUUGUGUCUUGCUCCAGUUAGACUUUCAGUUACAACAAGCACUGUUGACUAAAAGGUGUAUGUUAAGUUUAGCAAAUGCUGAAUCACAGUAGACACCUUAUAAUUAGCCUAUCUCAUUCCAGUGUACAUAAAUUGGUCACUGUCAUUUUCCCUGUAGUGACAGAUGACAUGAUACACUAGCAUCAAGACAGAAUGGUAAGAAAGUCCAACUCAAAAGAACUCAAUCUUAGUAUGUGUAAGGUGUGAGGAGGGAUUUAUAAAACUGCCACAGUCAAUUCAGUCACGGUCUUCACUGAGUUUGUGUGCACAGAGAAAAUAAUGUCACAGAGUGGAACAAUGCUUUAGCCCCUGCAGCCAAGUCUGAUGGCAGGGAAUAGCCCAGUCCCAAGGCCAGUGCUAUAUAUGAGUCACCCGGCACCUUGUAUAUGUGAACUAUGAAACUAUGCUCCAUUUUUAACAGCAAAGGAAAGGAAUGGUAGCUGAAAAUGAACAAUGAUGCAUGUACUUUAAUCUCCCUGGCACCAAAGGCCUCAGCCCAACCGUGGACUGUCAAAAAACCUGCCAGUGUACAUGCUGCCUAAGUAAGCUCAAUUAGUAGUGCCACCUACAGCAAAGGAGAGAUACCCCAUAUCCGUUUCAGGCCUCCAACACAGCUAUCAUUGCUGUGUUCAUUCAUUUGCAGAGAUAGAACUAAGGCAUGAAGCAGUUAAGUGUCAGGAACUCAUGUCAGCUGAGGCAAGUCUCAGCCCCAAAACUUGCACUGGUAAGAACAGAGUCACAGCUUAUGUUCAGACUGCCUUCCUUCAGUCUGACUUAAACUGUGGCCCCCUCACCAGCCACAGAUAAUAUACAACUCUGAUGGCCCUAUGUGAAAGACAGGGAAAAGUGCUUUUCCCCCGUAAGCUACUGUGCUCCUGCAUGCUACUGAAGUCUUUAUCACACCAUGGUACUGCAGAGGUAUUCCUUUAAAAGCAGAGAUGCUUUGGCACAGGGAGAGCGGCAACACUCACGUGAGAUGCCUCCAGCAGUGCUAGAAGAGCACAGAUCUCAGUAGCUGAGCAGUGCUACCGAGCUGUCCAGGAAAGCACUGUUACUUCAUAUGAAAUACCAGGGAUUGAUAAUGUUGCUUUGGAGUUUUUACAACAGGGGUGCUCACAGACCUCUGGAAAAUGGUGGCUGUCCCUUUACCAGGGCUCAUGUGGCUCUUCUUCUCCAGCUCAGCCACUGGGUCCUGCAAGGCAGCAAGGAAGGUGGCACAGGCAUCGUGGGGGUUGGAAGAGGCUUUGGCAUUGUCCAAAGAGGACAAGGGAAAGCUCUUAGCACCCUUAUCUUCUUUGUACAUUUGCUCAGGGAUCUGGCUACAAAGCUGCAGAUCUGUGUAUCUGUUAACACAUCUGGAGGGAAGAAAAAAACACAUUAAAUUUCCAUUAAAAUGUCAACAAAAUAAAAAAUUAAUAAAUAAAAAAAAACAACAGCAGAAGAUCUCUUUCUGCUAAGAGCCUGAAACAAAACUGGAUGUUGCUCUCUCAGUGCAACCAGUAAAGCAGUGGGCAGCAUCCUGAUGCCCUCUCCCUGUGGUUUCACCCAAGACUGCUGCUGGGAAGCUCCCUUGUGCUGCUUCUCAUUUACUUUGAGACAACUGAGAGCUGCAUGAGAUGCAGGAUGUUUUGAAAGGUUUAAAAUAGGUCACAGUUUGGCCAAAAAUCCGUUUCCAAGGUUUUGGCCAGAAGCUCCAGCUGUCACGGCAGUGGGCUGGAAAGUUGAGUGAGCAGAUGUGUCAGUUCCUGCAUCCAGGGACGGAAUAUUUUAACUGGGGAAGUGUGGGGCUGAAGGGCCAGAAACAUUCUAAGAAAGAUGGAGAUAGCUGGGAGAGUGUGGGAGCUGCUUUCUGGAAGCAGAGCAUUAGGCUGCUCAGCCACUCUGUCCCUCUUGUUGAUGGAGGGAAGCAUCCCAAGGAAACAGCCUGGGAGUAGCAGACACUGAAUCAUCUUGCCACUGGUCCCCUUUAAAACAUUUAUAAAUAGAGUAAGGGGUGUAUAAUCCCUGCUGGAGUACUUAGAUGUUUUGCUUUCUAUUCCCUCCUUCCCAGUACUGAGCUUACUGUUGGCGCUAAUUAUUAAGCUUUACCCACUUCCCAGAACAGUGAAUUUGGUUUGUUUGUUGCUCCUUUCCUUUCUCACUUGAAUAGACACUUCCAGGCAAAUAUUUCAGGCUUCAACAUCCUACUUCAGCUAGGAAAAGUGACUGAAAGUGUUGUUAUGAUAGAAGAGAAAUGUACACCAAGGGCCCAAAUUUUAAACAACUGUUUCUGAUUUGCUUUUUGCUCUGAAGUCGGCUGCUGUGCUUCAGACCUAGCGAAGGUGCUACGUUCUAGAAACCUUGUCUAAUCUUUUCCAGCCAUGCUCCUUCAGACUAAUAAAAGACAGCCCGUGGGGGAAAGUCUGAGUGUUACCAAGAGGGAUACCCAGCUCCUACAUCUCCAAAAUGGCCCCACUCUGCAGCAGGGUGGCUCCGACGAAAAUGCUUGGGGGAAGGCAUGGACCCAAAACAGAGGUGCUUAUUUAUGAAAGCAGCUCCAAACAGACAGCUUGUCUUCCCCUUGUGCGAUGCCAUCGCAGUUAAAGCAACACUCUCACUGAUGUAUUUCAGUCGUGUCAUCCACUUGCCAUUAUUAUAGUGAAAAAGAAAAAGAGGACUCAC
ensembl:lncRNA